UAAGGAAUAUUGGUCAAUGGACGCAAGUCUGAACCAGCCAUGCCGCGUGAAGGAUGAAGGUCCUCUGGAUUGUAAACUUCUUUUAUCUGGGACGAAAACGGGAUUUUUAUCUCAAUUGACGGUACCAGAGGAAUAAGCACCGGCUAACUCCGUGCCAGCAGCCGCGGUAAUACGGAGGGUGCGAGCGUUAUCCGGAUUUACUGGGUUUAAAGGGUGCGUAGGUGCGCUUAUAAGUCAGUGGUGAAAUCUCCGAGCUUAACUUGGGAACUGCCGUCGAUACUAUAGGUCGUUAAUUAUCUGGAGGUAAGCGGAAUAUGUGAUGUAGCGGUGAAAUGCGUAGGUAUGACAUAGAACACUAAUUGCGAAGGCAGCUUACUACAUAUAAAUUGACGCUGAGGCACUAAAGCGU
rnacentral:rRNA from 1 species